rnacentral:rRNA from 1 species
AAUGAACGCUGGCGGUAGACCUAACACAUGCAAGUCGAACGUCAGCACAGUAAGAGCUUGCUCUUACGGGUGGCGAGUGGCGGACGGGUGAGGAAUACAUCGGAAUCUACUUUUUCGUGGGGGAUAACGUAGGGAAACUUACGCUAAUACCGCAUACGACCUACGGGUGAAAGCAGGGGAUCUUCGGACCUUGCGCGAUUGAAUGAGCCGAUGUCGGAUUAGCUAGUUGGCGGGGUAAAGGCCCACCAAGGCGACGAUCCGUAGCUGGUCUGAGAGGAUGAUCAGCCACACUGGAACUGAGACACGGUCCAGACUCCUACGGGAGGCAGCAGUGGGGAAUAUUGGACAAUGGGCGCAAGCCUGAUCCAGCCAUACCGCGUGGGUGAAGAAGGCCUUCGGGUUGUAAAGCCCUUUUGUUGGGAAAGAAAAGCAGCAGGUUAAUACCCCGCUGUUCUGACGGUACCCAAAGAAUAAGCACCGGCUAACUUCGUG